rnacentral:snRNA from 1 species
GCUCACUUUGGUAGAACAUAUACUAAACUUGGAAUGAUGCAGGGAAGAUAAGCAUGACCCUGACCCCUACACAAAGAUGAUAUGCAAAUAUCAUUAUUCAGCAUUUCAUAUUUUU